CUAUUCCCCGCGGGACGGGGUCCCCCCAGAGAGCCGCAAAAAUGUUUAAAACUGAGAAAUGAUUUGAUCAGAUCCAAAGUCAAGAAUCAUGCACUAACAAUGGAGCAUGACUGUUUCAAAUUGAUAUAUGCUGUCACCGUCCAUGGCUCCCAAAUUCUGCAAGUGCACUGGAUUUGGCAAGUGUCCCAACACUUUUCUGAGAGGCUUUGAGUCUCAAACUCAGGUAUGAAACCAGAGGAAGGGUGACCAGCCUCCUGGGGGCUGAACUUGUCCAGUCUGCUGCUGAGCCUCACUUCCAGGAACGGUGCCACGGGUUUCCUGGGGAGGUCACAGGGGACAUUUUUUUUUUUUUCCAAAAUGAGUUCUCUUUUGGAACUACAGUGUUGAAAAUUCCCAAAAGACCUCUAAAGGUUAUACUUACAACUAUUUCACAGCCUCACAGACCACUGUGCCUUCGGAACAUUGCUGGUGAGACAAGCCCACCAUUGGAGUGGACAGUCAGGUCAUAGUUUGGACAACAAGACUGCAGAGUCUCAUUUGGCUUCUGUGCAUCUGCAGAAAUUAAUCACAAAUGAGUUUUGAAAUCACGGCAAAGAUGAAGAUGGAUGUUUCCGAUUGUAACUCUUGUCUUUAUAGAGCGUCUGUUGGUUUUUGAAAAAGACUUGUUCAUGGAAGAUGUGUGGACUGCGAGGGGAAGAAGACAGCAGGGAAGAAGAGGGCAAACCUGGCGGGGGAGAGGAGGGCACAGACAGCAUCCCAAGAAACCUUUCUACUUGAAGAAAAUGCUGUGGUCUUAGCAGAAAAUGAAUCACAUACAAACAGAAAUGACAUCGUAAAUCAACUCUCUUUUUCCUAACAUCCAAAGCCACAGGGCUCAUCCGCCCCUGGGUCUAUUCUAAAUCAAGUUCAUGUGGAAUAUUCCACUGGCUUUUUGCGCCAAAGAGCAAGAGCGAAUCUGACAAUAAAUACACAUUGAUCGGGUGAGUGGAAUAUCUGCUACUAAAAGAACUGAGGCAGUCUGAGAAGUCAUAAAUUCUGGAGUAAUGUCACUUACAAUUCUUUGUGUUUCUAUUAAAUAUUAUGCCUGCGUCCUUCGGUCAGUUUCAAUUUAAUGUUGUGGUGAGCAACUGAGUGAACGUUUGUGUUCCCCAUGUGGGUUAUAGGCAUCUGCUGAAUAUCAGGGAACAUAAUCAAGUGAUUUGCCAACAAUCCUAUCAGCAUGUGUCCUGUGCAUUGUUCUGAGCUGAGAACACAACCGGAAGUAUACGGACCAUGCAGUUGGGUCGCCAUGCAUUUGACCUAGAAAGCAUUCGG